rnacentral:rRNA from 1 species
UACGUAGGGGGCAAGCGUUGUCCGGAAUCAUUGGGCGUAAAGAGCGUGUAGGCGGCCUGGAAAGUCUGGUGUGAAAUCUUGGGGGCUCAACCCCAAGCGGUCACUGGAUACUUUCAGGCUUGAGUCCGGAAGAGGAGAGUGGAAUUCCUGGUGUAGCGGUGGAAUGCGCAGAUAUCAGGAGGAACACCGGUGGCGAAGGCGGUGAUCUGGGGCCGACACUGACGCUGUAGAGCGAAAAGCGUGGGGGAGCGAAACAGG